rnacentral:rRNA from 1 species
CCUUCUUUUUCUCUCUUUUUCCUUCCUCCUUGGGCGUAAAGGGCGCGUAGGUGGCCCAGUCAGCGUGCGGUGAAAGCUCGGGGCUCAACCCCGAGUCGGCCGUGCGAACUGCUGGGCUCGAGCACUGUAGAGGCAGGCGGAAUUCCGGGUGUAGCGGUGGAAUGCGUAGAGAUCCGGAAGAACACCGGUGGCGAAGGCGGCCUGCUGGGCAGUAGCUGACACUGAGGCGCGACAGCGUGGGGAGCAAACAGGA